AGUGCGACAGACAGCCUCAGAGCUGGUGGGGAGACAGCAUGCCACUGGAAAAAUUCGUAGACAUGGAAUUCCUGGAUCAAAUGAUGGAGUCUUGCUCUGCUGCCCAGGCUGGAGUGCAGUGGUGCAAUCUCGGCUCACUGUAACCUCCAUCUCCCGGGUUCAAGCACUUCUUCUGCCUCGGCCUCCCAAGUAGCUGGGAUUACAGGAGGAGAUGGAAGAUUGAGAGCAGAGUGCAAGAAUGGGAAGAGGGCUUCGUGCCCUGUGCACGUUUGCCACCUAGUGACCAAACUGAAUGGUGUGCUUCUCACCUCAGCGUGAUAGCCUGACCUUGACUCCUGAGUUCCACGAUCGCUUCACAACUGCAAGUCACCAUCAUACAAAAUUUGAGUUUCCCUAAGUCCGCGCCUUUGAGAGCUUUGGAACGAUAUGCAAGUUCAAGUCACCAUCCUGUUUCUUGCUACCUCCUGUGAGAAGACCAACAUUUGGGUUACACUUGUUUCUACUCUUGUUCUUCUGCUUGUUAUUGUUGCCUCUGCAGCCAUUGAUCACACACGUGUUGUCAUACAAAAACUGGUUAGCCUUUUUAUUUGUCUUGUGAAUUUUAUCAUUUGGUUCUUAAGUAUUACAAAUUAAUAUUGUGUACUCUCAUUGAUAUACAACUUGCAGUCAUUGUAAAUAUGCGUGAGUUAGGGGUGAGAAUGGCAUGCAAGCAAAAGAACAAGGAGAGGGAUGAUAGAGAUGCAAGAAGAGUAAAGAGGGCAAGAAAGUUUAUGUUAAUAGCGAACACAAUGAAAGUUCUUUAAAUGCUUGAUAAUGGUGAAAGCAACACUUCCUAGGGCAUAUUUUUGGUGUUAAUGAACCUACACAUCAUACAAUAAAGAAAAUUGAGAAA
rnacentral:lncRNA from 1 species